UACGGGGGGGGCAAGCGUUGUUCGGAAUUACUGGGCGUAAAGGGUUAGUAGGUGGCCAACUAAGUCAGACGUGAAAUCCCUCAGCUUAACUGGGGAACUGCGUCUGGGACUGAUUGGCUCGAGGACAGGAGAGGAACGCGGAAUUCCAGGUGUAGCGGUGAAAUGCGUAGAUAUCGCUUGGAACGCCGAAGGUGAAAACAGGUUGCUGGGGUUGUGCCGACGCUGAGACACGAAAGCCAGGGGAGCAAACGGG
rnacentral:rRNA from 1 species